rnacentral:rRNA from 1 species
AUUGAACGCUGGCGGCAGGCCUAACACAUGCAAGUCGAGCGGAUGAAGGGAGCUUGCUCCUGGAUUCAUCGGCGGACGGGUGUGUAAUGCCUAGGAAUCUGCCUGGUAGUGGGGGAUAACGUCCUUAUACGGGCGCUAAUACCGCAUACGUCCUGUUUGUGUAAGUGUGGGUUCUUCGGUCCUCUCGCUUUCUUAUUAGCCUAGGUCGGAUUAGCUAGUUGGUUGGGUAAAGGCCUACCAAGGCGACGAUCCGUAACUGGUAUGAGAGGAUGAUCAGUCACACUGGAAGUGAGACACGGUACAGACACCUACGGGAGGCAGCAGUGGGGAAUAUUGGACAAUGGGCGAAAGCAUGAUACAGCAAAGCCGCGUGUGUGAAGAAGGACUUAGGAUUGUAAAGCACUUUAAGUAGGGAGGAAGGGAAGUAAGUUAAUACCUUGAUGUAAUGACGUUACCAACAGAAUAAGCACCGGCUAACUUCGUG